rnacentral:rRNA from 1 species
UACGGAGGUCCCGAGCGUUGUUCGGAAUUACUGGGCGUAAAGGGGGCGCAGGCGGACAGGUCAGUGGAAAGUGGAAGCCCGAGGCUCAACCUCGGAAAGCCUUUCCAUACUGCCUGUCUUGAGUUCGUGAGAGGAAAGCGGAAUUCAGGGUGUAGCGGUGAAAUGCUUAGAUAUCCUGAGGAACACCAAUGGCGAAAGCAGCUUUCUGGCACGUUACUGACGCUGAGGCCCGAAAGCGUGGGGAGCGAACGGG